GCAGCCCUGCAGAGAUGAACCUGCCCGCUCGCCAAGGCCUCCAUCUGCCUUGCAGCCCUGCAAGGAAUAUCCGUUGUACACCACACUUACACUCUGCCCCAUGCCGCUCUGCUUGGUCCACGCCAACGCCAACGCUGCUGGAGACUAAACAGGCAUAUAGAGGAGCAUCGGUCGCAACAACACAGCAGAACAAAGGUUCACAGCCAUCCCAUCACCCACACAACGCCUAAACCAGCUCUCCAUCCACCUUCCUCACAAGGGGAAGACCAGAAACCCAGAGAAAGUGGAGUACUUCCAGCCUCCCAUCAGGUUGCCUCUCUCCAGUCUGAGGUAG